GUAGCAAGGACGUCCUGGGGGCCGUGGUCCUCCGUCGAGGACAGUUUUGCUCCUCAGGAACAUCUGGAGAUGCUGGAGACGGCUUUGUUGUGACUGCGGGCACAUCCACCAGCAUCUAGUGGGCGGAGGCCCGAGUCGCUGCUCUCCCGCAGCGCCAAGCGCAGCCACCCCCGAGUCUAGGGGGUUGGACCCCUCAGCCCUCGGUCGUCGCCGUGUUCACAUGGAUGUUAUGCAAGCCACUGAGAGACAGUUGACAAUCCUCCGCAGAGAAGAAAAAGAAAGCAACACGACCACACGCACCGCAGCUCAGAGCUUCAAAGACCACAUUUAAGGUGCGCUUCAAACAGCCCUGUGCAGCAUGGGCUGGUCCCGGACCCCAGCCUGUGUAAACAGUUAUAUUUACUAGCAUGAAACCUAAAAUAGAAAUCCUGCAGCAAGCUUUUCUCUCCUUAAAGGUGUCUCUUUGAUACCUGAGUGGGUACCCACGAAGGGGCCCAGGUCCAUUGUUAAGGCCGUCAGCAGUGGCUGGUGGGGACAGUGGCUGGUGGGUACGCUUUCUCUUUCGCAUUUUAUGGGGAGCGUCAAAGGCCAGCAGAUUCAUAGCCUGGUGACGUCUUUGAUAGAAACACUCCUAUUUUUUCUCUUUGGCUGUAGCUGGUGUCCGCAGGUUGAUGUCUGGUAUCAGAAGAGCCUCGAACAGGUGGCUGAGGGAAUCUGUGGGCUCGCUGUUUUACGGAAUGUUUAAAAUGGUCACAAAAUGAACUUUUCUGAACCCCUUUCGGGGUCCUUAGAUGUUUCUGCCCUAAGGAGGGUUUUUCCGCUUUGUUGUUGUUGGUUUUUUUUUUUUUCUCAAUCUAGAUUAAAAAUAGUCUAAUAGUCCAGGUAGAUGGUGCUUUUUAUUUAUUUGUUUCCCAUCAAACUCUCUCUCUCUGAAGUGCACACAGAUGUUUCUUUGGUUUGUCUGUGUGUGGGAGGGAGAGACACACAGACACAGGCUAACAGCCACACGAAAGGCAAAGACAGAGCCUCUAGCCUGCCUGAACCGUCUUUCUCCGUGAAAUUGAGAGGACAGAGGUCCUUCUCGAAGCAAAUGAUGGUGGUGAUGGAGGUGAGAAGGGAGCGCAGGGAGAAAGACCAAGCAUUAGGUAGCGAGCAAGGCUCAGGGGAAGAGAGCCGUGAAACGGCAGGAAGACAGGCCCGAUCCUCAGUUGAAGGCACUGCUCUCACCAUCCUGGAAUCUAAUACCUUCUGA
rnacentral:lncRNA from 1 species